rnacentral:rRNA from 1 species
AUGUCGUUGGGCACGGCGAUCAUGGUCUCGAUGCCGGUCCCGGCGAGCCCCAUCAUGGUGGCCUCGUCGGCGUCGAAGAUCUUCACCUUUUUGAACCCGUUGUCCUUGAGCAGCCGGGCCAUCACCUUGGGCGGCAGCCGGCGCGUGGCCAAGGUGCCCCAGUUCACGCCGAGCCCCUCCACCGGCGCCCCCGCCACCGCGGCCGCCAGCACCACCGCCACCACCGCAGCGCAGCACGCCAUUGCUCUGCCCGGUGGAGAUGGCCAAGAAAUUAAAACGCCGCGCGCGCUUAAUAGAGGAACGAAACCAACCGAGACGCGACGCGUGCCGCGUGUACGUGCCUCCAAAAUAAAUUGGAGAACUUUUCCAGCGACCGAUCUAUGGCUGGUGGGUUGA